GUAUACAGCCGGCUACAGAUAGCUUCAGUGAACAUUCAACGCUGUCGGUGAGUUUGAGCAUUAGAAAAAAAACCAUCGACCGUUGACUGUACCUUGAGGUUUAUCACAGGCACGCUUGGAUAC
rnacentral:pre_miRNA from 14 species